rnacentral:misc_RNA from 1 species
ACCAAAAUGUUUGUCUUUUAAUUCCCCUGCUUCACUGAUUUCACUUCUCACAACAUUCCUUUCCUGAUCUUCUUUACCAUGUGAUGCAUGUCUCAAUGUGUUAGCUUCCCCCAUAUUCUCAUGGCGAGACAAUGUAUCUAUUCCUUGGUCUACAUAAUCUGAAGAUUCACCAUCAGCAUUGUGAUCAGAGGCACUCUUCAUCUCUCCACUUAAAUGCUCAUUACCUUGAUUAUGGGUGGUUCUUGGAGCCCCACCACGAUUAUCUGCAAGUGACAUUGACUUUGAGG